UGCACGGUGGCGCAGUUGGUAGCACUGUAGCCUUGCAGUAAGAAGAUCCUGGGUUUGAUUCCCGGCCGGGGGUCUUUCUGCAU